GUGCUCACUUCAACAGCGCGCAUACUGAAAUUGGAAUGUUACAGAGAAGAUUAGAAUGGCCCAUGUGCAAGGAUGACAUGCAAUUUGUGAAACGUUCCAUAUUUUU
ensembl:snRNA U6 U6 spliceosomal RNA